rnacentral:lncRNA from 1 species
AGAAUUCAGAAUUACGAACAACCAAAAACAAAACUUGAAAAUAAACUACAUAAAAGCGUUCAAUGUUAUAUUUCAUAUUUACUCCAGGCUAAUGCUAUUUUCUCCACCAAUUUUAAAAACAUUGAGCAUGACUAACUAUCCACAGAAGCAAGUAAGAAAACGAAAUUCUAAAUUCCACAAAAGAAACCAACUACUGCAAAACUUGAGAGCAUCAGGAAUAACCAUUCUCUUGUCUUGUCAUAUGGUGCAAGAAUCCCCUCAUAAGCCUUUAAUUCACACCAAAGAAAGCUGCCACUCCAUGCUUA